ACUCAUUACUGUGAUGGAUAAUUUUAGGUGUCUACUUGACUGGAUUAAGAAAUGCCUAGAGGCCGGACACGGUGGCUCACACCUGUAAUCCCAGCAGUUUGGGAGGCCAAGGCAGGUGGAUCACGAGGUCAAGAGAUUGAGACCAUCCUGGCCAACAUGGUGAAACCCCGUCUCUAAUAAAAUACAAAAAUUAGCUGGGUAUGGUGGCACGUGCCCGUAAUCCCAGCUACUUGGGAGGCUGAGGCAGGAGAAUCGCUUGAACCUGGGAGGCAGAGGUUGCAGUGAGCUGAGAUCGCGCCAUUGCACUCCAGCCUGGAGACAGAGCGAAACUCUGUCUCAAAAAAAAGAAAGAAAUGCCUAGAAACUUGAUAAAGUAUUAUUUUUGGGUAUGUGUGUGAGGAUGUUUCCAGAGGAGAUUAUUAGCAUGUGAGUUUGAGUGGACUAGGUGGGGAAGAUCUGACCUCAAUGUAGGUGGGUACCAUCCAAUUUGCUGGGGGUGCAGACAGAACAAAAACAGAGAAAAGGCAAAUGUGUUCAUCCAAACUUGCUGUACCUGAGAUACACUCUUCCUCUCCUGUCCUUGGACAACAACACCAGGCUCCCAGCCUUUGGACACAAGCACCUCCCCUCCUCACCCCCAUCCCCUCCAGUUCUCAGGCUUUCGACCUUGGACUGAGAGUUACACCACUGGCUUCCCUGGUUCUGAAGCUUGUGAAUUUGGAUUGCGCCACUACCUGCAUCCCAGGGUCUCCAGCUUGCAGACAGCUUGUCGUGGGACUUCUCAGCCUCCAUAACUGGGUUUGAUUUUAGUUCAAGCACCAUGCAGUUUACCUCAAUAUCAAAUUCUUUGACCUCCACUGCUGCUAUUGGGCUCUCAUUUACAACUUCAACGACUACCACCGCCACUUUCACCACCAACACUACUACCACAAUCACCAGUGGCUUUACUGUGAACCAAAACCAACUGUUAUCAAGAGGGUUUGAAAACCUUGUACCUUAUACUUCAACUGUUAGUGUAGUAGCAACUCCUGUGAUGACAUAUGGUCAUCUGGAGGGUCUUAUAAAUGAGUGGAACCUUGAGCUGGAAGAUCAAGAGAAGUACUUUCUUCUCCAGGCCACUCAGGUCAAUGCUUGGGACCAUGCGUUGAUUGAGAAUGGUGAGAUGAUUCGUAUUUUACAUGGAGAAGUGAACAAAGUGAAACUGGAUCAGAAAAGAUUGGAACAAGAAUUGGAUUUUAUCCUGUCACAGCAGCAGGAACUAGAAUUUCUGUUGACUUAUUUAGAGGAGUCUACGCGCGACCAGAGUGGACUUCAUUAUCUGCAGGAUGCAGAUGAGGAGCAUGUGGAGACCUCCACCAGAUCUGCAGAAUUCUGAAUGCCCAUAUGGACUCCCUGCAGUGGAUUGAUCGGAAUUCAGAGGCAUGCUGCAAAGGAAGGUAGAAGUGGUAACACGGGUUUUCGAGGAUUAUCGUCACGAGGAGCAUGCACACAAUGUCAACACUGCUUUUUAGUGAAUGACCAUAUCUUCAGCAUGUCGUUUCUGGAUUAUUACCUACAAAUUCUGAUGUUAAAUAGAGUAGUAUUUAUACUUAAUAUUUCAUCUUGAUCAUAAUGAAUUGUGCAUCCUUUUUUUCAUUUAAGUAUUGUACUGUUGAGAAUUAUACCUUAGUUUUGUUUUUAGUAUUAGAAAAUCAAAAUUAUACUAGCCCCUUUGUCCAGACAGCAACCUCUUAGAUGCUGACUCUAUAUGUGUAAUUUAUGUCUUACUCUCCCUGGCAUCAGUACACAUCAUCCUUCUCACUCCAGUUGAAUCAUAGGGUGAUGUCUGCCAAAAGUACAUGCCAAGCUAUAUAGUGCUAGAUACUGUAAAGUCUCUUCUUCUCAAAGGAACCUACUGUCUAGUUUGAGAUAUAAUUAAUGCUUGUCUGCAUAAAAACAAUAUAGAUAAUAUAAAGAAGUGCAGUAUGAAUUAUAGAAAGUGUGUUAUAGAGAUUCAGAGCAGGGAGGAAAAGUUAGGGUAGAUUAUUAUUAAAGGGUUAAGGAAAGGUAAGUUUCAAGGAAUUUGGUUAUUUUUAAUGUAUGGAUAUACUGGCAUUUUAUUUGGUUUUAGCAUAUGAUUUAUAGUUGGUGAUUUCCGUAUAUUUGUUUGCUUUUCUUUUUUGUUGUUGUUUGUUUGUUUUGUUUUGUUUUAAAUAAGCCUUGUUCUUAGGUUUGGAACAGUCUGGUCUCCUGUGUUUCAUGUUUCACCUAAGUCAUAAAUAAAGGAUCCCAUCCAAGAUACUGCAUUACUUUAGUCAUCAUGACUCCUUUGGUUCCUUUUGGCUGUGACAGAUUCUUGUGUUUUUGAUGACCUUGCUAGUUUUAAGGAGUACUAGUAGUCAGUGCACUUUAAAAUUUGUGAGAUUGGACAUCUUUUCAUACACUUAAAGACAUUUGCAUUUCCAUUUCUGGGAACUAAGAGCCUAUGCUUUUAACCACUAUACUAUACCUCUUUCUUGAUUCACCAUAAUUAUCAAUAAAACAUAUGUGGGCCU